GUACAGUUUGAAAUCUUGAAGUGUGAAGAGUUACUAUUGACAGCGCAACUAGAAAGCAUCAAAAGACUUAUAUCAGAAAAUAAUUUUCAGCACUUUCACUUACUCUAUGUAAUAAGGAAAAAAAUUGUUUCCAGAAAGUUGAACUAUGUAGUAAUAUUUGGUAACACAUGGCAUGGCCACUUUAUAUCACAGAAUGUGUGUCAAGUUGCAAAGCAUACUUGGGCCAUAGUAGACACUAAGAAUUAAAACUCUUAAAUCAGUGAAACAAAAACUAAUGGGCAGCAUUCUCUCUGGAAUGGGAUCAGUAUACAAUUAAUACAAUUUAAUUUUACACAUUCCCUAAGACACCGUUUUUAAGUUACAGUCACAUGAGUGUGUUUGUAUAAAUUUAAGUCAAUGCUUUUAGC
rnacentral:sRNA from 1 species